GACGAACGCUGGCGGCGCGCCUAACACAUGCAAGUCGAGGGAGAACCACAUCUUCGGAUGUGGGGAGACCGGCGAACGGGUGAGUAACACGUGAGGAACCUGCCCCGUAGAUCGGAAUAACCACGGGAAACUGUGGCUAAUGCCGAAUGAUCUCACCGCCCCGCAUGGGGCAGUGAGGAAAUGGUCAGCCGCUACGGGAUGGCCUCGCGGCCUAUCAGCUUGUUGGUGAGGUAACGGCUCACCAAGGCGACGACGGGUAGCUGGCGUGAGAGCGCGACCAGCCACACUGGGACUGAGACACGGCCCAGACUCCUACGGGAGGCAGCAGUGGGGAAUCUUGCGCAAUGGGCGAAAGCCUGACGCAGCGACGCCGCGUGCGGGAAGAAGGUCUUCGGAUUGUAAACCGCUUUCAGGGGGGAAGAAGCGAAAGUGACGGUACCUCCAGAAGAAGCCCCGGCCAACUACGUGCCAGCCGCCGCAGUAACAC
rnacentral:rRNA from 1 species